rnacentral:rRNA from 1 species
CGCUGGCGGCGUGCCUAAUACAUGCAAGUCGAGCGGACCGACGGGAGCUUGCUCCCUUAGUCAGCGGCGGACGGGUGAGUAACACGUGGGUAACCUGCCUGUAAGACUGGGAUAACUCCGGGAAACCGGGGCUAAUACCGGAUGCUUGAUUGAACCGCAUGGUUCAAUCAUAAAAGGUGGCUUUUAGCUACCACUUACAGAUGGACCCGCGGCGCAUUAGCUAGUUGGUGAGGUAACGGCUCACCAAGGCGACGAUGCGUAGCCGACCUGAGAGGGUGAUCGGCCACACUGGGACUGAGACACGGCCCAGACUCCUACGGGAGGCAGCAGUAGGGAAUCUUCCGCAAUGGACGAAAGUCUGACGGAGCAACGCCGCGUGAGUGAUGAAGGUUUUCGGAUCGUAAAACUCUGUUGUUAGGGAAGAACAAGUACCGUUCGAAUAGGGCGGCACCUUGACGGUACCUAACCAGAAAGCCACGGCUAACUACGUGCCAGCAGCCGCGGUAAUACGUAGGUGGCAAGCGUUGUCCGGAAUUAUUGGGCGUAAAGCGCGCGCAGGCGGUUUCU